UACCAAAAAUAAAAACACAAAAACACACACACAAAAGUGAAAAAACACAUUUCAUUGAGAAAUCCCUAAAUCCCAAAACACUCUCUCAUCGCCACCACAGUCACACUCCGGCGCAACUUUCUUCAUCGUUCCCUUCCAGAAAAGUGAAUGGGUUCAUCGUUCUCUCCAAUCGUUGGUAUCAAAACUCACUCUCCAAUCUUUCACCUUAAAUCCCUUAAUCACUCUCUCCAAUCGAUCUCUUUACUGUCCCCGUCGAGAGAAGUAAGAUUUGUGUUGAGCAUAAAGAAGAAGUGAGAAUCCUUAGGCCGCCGACCCUCUGACCGCCUCUGUACCGAACCUCCACCUCAUACUCCGGCGCUCUGCCGUUCUUUCAAAGCUCGACUGCUCUGUCUACCCGUCGUUGCUUCUCGUUCCAUUGUUCUGUCAUCUGCUUCCACUGUUCGUUGUAGAUAAAAUGAAAAUGGCGACUUCACCAUAUGAGGAGCCACGGAGCAAAAUAAUAGAAGAGAAUGCUAAAAGGAUGGAAUCAUUCUUAUGAGUUUAUACAAAUGCAUUUUUAUCAUACAAAUGCAUUUUUCUUAUGGGUGUAUCAUAAUUUUGAUUUCUUGUCUCUUGAAACUAAGUUGAUUGCAAGUACUCAAAUUAUGUACUUUGGAUGCUGAAAUUGGUCCUACCUUAUUUGACUGAAUUUUUUAUUAUGGUCUGUUAGGAUUUGGCAUUUGAUUACUUGUCUCUUUCUGUCUUGCUGGGAGAUAACUUCUACAACUACAACUUUGGAGAUCUACUCGCCCACCCUGUUGUAUGAGCUGAAGUUAUUAAUCUAGCCUUGUUCUAGUUACACUACACAUGUCAUUGAACUUGUAUUUUUUAUAAUUUCUUGAUUUUCUUGUCAGCCUAUUAGACCAUUCACUUGGCAAGGAGGUCAUUGAACUUAUAUAGUUUUACUGUGCUUAUGUUAUUGAAAAUCAUAACCCGUUUCCAUGUUCAUAUUUGAAGGUAGUGAAUCCUCUUAUGGAGUUAAAUAUGUUCUCAAUUCAAGAGCAGAGUUCUUAUGGUUCCAUGGACUGGUUUCAAAUUCUUCUUUCAAGUGUUAAGGAUGAGAAGUCAACCAACUGGUUGUUUGCAGAAUCCGUUCAGAUGAAGGGGAAACCAAUCACACAUAAGACAAAUUGUUAUGUUCUGUUUCUGAAGUCUGAAUGCGAACCCUCUGCGAGACCACCGUGAGGCAACGCGAAAGUUGUUUGCUACCACACCAUCACUAUCUUCAAUCAAUGGCUCCAGUUGCAGUGGGAGAUGUGAUUCUAGACGGAGCUUAAUUUUGUUGCCCUUAUUUAUUGUCAUUUGUGUGUGUGCUAUAGGUCCGGGGUUUUUUAUGAUUGAGUCCAUUCGUUUUUUUAAGUAUCCUAAUAGUUAUGUUUUUUCAGGUAACCAAAUAAGAAGAGUCAAGAGAUGGUAGCACUAAUUAAGGAUUAUGAAGCAACAUCAUUUACUAGGGAAUGUUUAGAUAUUUUAAGAACUUAUUUUGCCAUAAUGUUUUGUAUGUUUAACCACUAUACUAAUGUUUAUGUUUUAGUUUUUCAAUGUUUGAACUACAUUGAUUUUUUUU